UACGUAGGGACCAAGCGUUGUCCGGAAUUAUUGGGCGUAAAGAGCUCGUAGGCGGUGUGUCACGUCGGCCGUGAAAACCUGCAGCUUAACUGUGGGCGUGCGGUCGAUACGGGCAUCACUGGAGUUCGGCAGGGGAGACUGGAAUUCCUGGUGUAGCGGUGAAAUGCGCAGAUAUCAGGAGGAACACCGGUGGCGAAGGCGGGUCUCUGGGCCGAUACUGACGCUGAGGAGCGAAAGCGUGGGGAGCAAACAGG
rnacentral:rRNA from 1 species